rnacentral:rRNA from 1 species
UACGGAGGGUGCAAGCGUUAAUCGGAAUUACUGGGCGUAAAGCGCACGCAGGUGGCUGAGUCAGUCGAUUGUGAAAGCCCUGGGCUUAACCUGGGAAUUGCAGUCGAUACUACUCAGCUAGAGUAUGGGAGAGGGUAGUGGAAUUCCCGGUGUAGCGGUGAAAUGCGUAGAUAUUGGGAGGAACACCAGUGGCGAAGGCGGCUCACUGGACUGGUACUGACACUGAGGCACGAAGGCCAGGGGAGCAAACGGG